CUUCACUUAGAAUCUUCAGUAUCACCCCAGCACCAAUCUUCAAAAGUUCAAGGUUGAAGGAACUAUAAGUUGCGAUAUUAACCAAAACUUUCGUCAUCUCUCUAAGUCAACAAAACUCGAGCCUAAGUUUUACGUUGACUUAUCUAUUUUAGUCUUAGAGCAAAGUAACGAAGCAGUUGUAACCCAUAACGAAGUUAACUGCUCCGAUCUAACCUCGCAGAAAUAAAGAAUGAAGCAACAAACAAAAAUGAAAGGAACCAUUAAUCUUUCCUAAAAAAGCAAAACUAGUCCAAAUCAAGCACCAAGCAUACUGUACAAGCAACUUGCCCACAGAAUAGUCAAAGACUUACAUCAAAAAGUGCUUUUGCAAAAAGCCAUCCCACCUCAACCACUCUAAGAUCCCACCAAAGUUCCCGCAUCAUCUUCACACCCACCCUCAUCUUCGGGCUUUGCCCUAUACCGAUCCAAAAUGUCUGGCAAGGACGGACCGUAAGGGAAUCUCAAACUAACAGUGAAAAGGUCUGAAAACCACAGCCUCACCAUAUUUUGGCAUCGAGAUAGCCUCAUCUUCGGAACCCCCCCUUUUUCAACAUACAACUCUAUGCACUUGUUGGUC
rnacentral:lncRNA from 1 species